UACGAAGGGUGCAAGCGUUAAUCGGAAUUACUGGGCGUAAAGGGCGCGUAGGCGGCCUCUGCAAGUCGACUGUGAAAUCUCCGGGCUUAACCCGGAAAGGUCAGCCGAUACUGCAGGGCUAGAGUGCAGAAGGGGCAACUGGAAUUCUCGGUGUAGCGGUGAAAUUCGUAGAUAUUCGGAGGAACACCAGAGGCGAAGGCGGCCAACUGGUCCGGUACUGACGCUGAGGCGCGAAAGCGUGGGGAGCAAACAGG
rnacentral:rRNA from 1 species